rnacentral:tRNA from 1 species
GAGGGGAUAGCUCAGUGUUAGAGCACAUGCUUAGCAUGCAUGAGGUCCUGGGUUCAAUCCCUGAUACCUUCA